GGGACGGGACGCAACGUUGCAUGAGAUCAUGAGAUGCAUCUUCAACCGCGAGGAGUUCAUGCGCUUCGACAGCGCGGUGAGCGAGUUCCGCGCGCUGACCCCAAUGGGACGGUAGUCCAGUGUAAGGUACAUGUAUCACCCUCCAAGAAGGUCACCCUGAAGCACCAUGACCUGCUGGUCUGCCAUGUGACAAAUUUCUACCCAGGCGUCAUUCAAGUCCAAUGGUUCUGGAAUAGCCAGGAGGAAACUCCUGUCCACCAGCCUGAUCUGAAAUGGGGACUGGACCUUCCAGAUUCUGUUCAUGCUGGAGAUAACUCCACAGCAGGGAGAUGUGUAUGCCUGCCACGUGGAGCACCCCAGCCUGGAGAGCCCCAUCACAGUAGAGUAUUAACCCAGAAUUCUCUUCUUCCCAGGUAUCCAGUCUGACUCUGCCCGAAACAAGAUGCUGAUUGGAGUGGUUGGCCUGGUGCUGGGACUCAUCUUCCUGACAGUGGGCAUCACCAGGCACAGGAAGAGCAAGCAGGGUGAGAA
rnacentral:lncRNA from 1 species